rnacentral:rRNA from 1 species
UUGGAGGGCAAGUCUGGUGCCAGCAGCCGCGGUAAUUCCAGCUCCAAUAGCGUAUAUUAAAGUUGUUGCAGUUAAAAAGCUCGUAGUUGAAUUUCGGGGUUAGUAGGUUGGUCAUGCCUCUGGUAUGUACUGGGUCUCACUGAUUCCUCCUUCCUGAUGAACCUUAAUGCCAUUAAUUUGGUGUUUUGGGGAAUUUGGACUGUUACUUUGAAAAAAUUAGAGUGUUUAAAGCAGGCAUUUUUUGCUUGAAUACAUUAGCAUGGAAUAAUAGAAUAGGACGGCAUGGUUCUAUUUUGUUGGUUUCUAGGAUCACCGUAAUGAUUAAUAGGGAUAGUUGGGGCAUUAGUAUUCAAUUGUCAGAGGUGAAAUUCUUGGAUUUAUUGAAGACUAACUACUGCGAAAGCAUUUGCCAAGGAUGUUUUCAUUAAUCAAGAACGAAAGUUUAGGGGAUCGAAGACGAUCAGAUACCGUCGUAGUCUUAACCAUAAACUAUGCCGACUAGGGAUCGGAUGAUGUUAAUUUUUAAUGACUCAUUC